UAAUUACAAGAGGUGUGUGUGUGUAUCUCCAAUGUCACUGGGACAUGCAGACAGAAAAGUGCCUGCUUAGGGCUUUUUGGAGCUAAUCAACAGAUCAUCUGGUAAUGUUCCUGUGUUCCUUCCUUAGAAAAAGC